rnacentral:rRNA from 1 species
AACCAACAGGGAUUGCCUUAGUAGCGGCGAGUGAAGCGGCAAAAGCUCAAAUUUGAAAUCUGGCACUUUCAGUGUCCGAGUUGUAAUUUGAAGAAGGUAUCUUUGGGUCUGGCUCUUGUCUAUGUUUCUUGGAACAGAACGUCACAGAGGGUGAGAAUCCCGUGCGAUGAGAUGUCCCAGACCUAUGUAAAGUUCCUUCGAAGAGUCGAGUUGUUUGGGAAUGCAGCUCUAAGUGGGUGGUAAAUUCCAUCUAAAGCUAAAUAUUGGCGAGAGACCGAUAGCGAACAAGUACAGUGAUGGAAAGAUGAAAAGAACUUUGAAAAGAGAGUGAAAAAGUACGUGAAAUUGUUGAAAGGGAAGGGCUUGAGAUCAGACUUGGUAUUUUGUAUGUUACUCUCUCGGGGGUGGCCUCUACAGUUUACCGGGCCAGCAUCAGUUUGAGCGGUAGGAUAAGUGCAAAGAAAUGUGGCACUGCUUCGGUAGUGUGUUAUAGUCUUUGUCGAUACUGCCAGCUUAGACUGAGGACUGCGGCUUCGGCCUAGGAUGUUGGCAUAAGAUCUUAA